rnacentral:rRNA from 1 species
GACGAACGCUGGCGGCGUGCCUAAUACAUGCAAGUAGAACGCUGAAGGAGGAGCUUGCUUCUCUGGAUGAGUUGCGAACGGGUGAGUAACGCGUAGGUAACCUGCCUGGUAGCGGGGGAUAACUAUUGGAAACGAUAGCUAAUACCGCAUAAGAGUAGAUGUUGCAUGACAUUUGCUUAAAAGGUGCAAUUGCAUCACUACCAGAUGGACCUGCGUUGUAUUAGCUAGUUGGUGGGGUAACGGCUCACCAAGGCGACGAUACAGAGCCGACCUGGGAGGGUGAUCGGCCACACUGGGACUGAGACACGGCCCAGACUCCUACGGGAGGCAGCAGUAGGGAAACUUCGGCAAUGGACGGAAGUCUGACCGAGCAACGCCGCGUGAGUGAAGAAGGGUUUCGGAUCGUAAAGCUCUGUUGUAAGGGAAGAACGAGUGUGGGAGUGAAAAGUUCACACUGUGACGGUAUCUUACCAGAAAGGGACGGCUAACUACGUG